rnacentral:lncRNA from 1 species
GUCAUCGGUGUGUAAGGACCAUCACUGGGAUGUGAUGAUCGCAUAGCGACCGCCCUAAGUUCCCAACUGCAUCCGCAAGCUGGCUGGUCCCCGCAGGGCGUCCAGGUACACGCUGUGCCAAACUUGCCCGCAGCAACAAGCCAAGGGAAUCGCGUGGGAAAAUGGAAAACAGGCCUGCACGCCUCCGCGGGAAGUUGAUGAUCAGCAGGAACCGAAUCUCCGAAGUCACCCGCAACCCCGCUCAGACUGGCAGUCUAAAAAAGGUCCCCAGCAAAUGGAAGAAUGGAGCCUAUCACCUCGGAUCACCUUUGAAAAUCAUCCGGGUCAUCUGCCCUCUCAGAACAGACUCCUAUUUGGAGAGAAGGGACCUGGAAGUCCUGAGACAUUGCUGGAAACCAUCAAGCUAAAGUAACUCUCAGCCCAGGGAGGAGGCCACAUCCCUACAACAGGGAAUUAGAGAUGCCUGUGUGGCUGGGUGAGACCUGAAGGGCCCCUCAAGCUGCAGGGACAUAAAGAACCCUGAAAUGCCAAAUUUUAGGUAUACAUCUCAGGUGUGCUCACAGAACAGGAACUUUGUGAAGACAAAUGCCCAUGGAGAAAAGAAUGAGACACACAGUUUCCCUGGGCCUGUGUCUUCAACCAAGUCAAGACCAGCAUAGACGCCAUUCCAAAAGUAA